rnacentral:rRNA from 1 species
CCCUUAGAUGUUCUGGGCCGCACGCGUGCUACACUGAGUGGAUCAGCGGGUCAGGUUGCGCGAAAGCGUUUCCUAAUCUUUAAAUCCGCUCGUGAUGGGGAUUGACGGUAGCAAUUUUCUGUCAUGAACGAGGAAUACCUUGUAAGCGCGGGUCAUCAUCCCGCGCUGAAUACGUCCCUGCCCUUUGUACACACCGCCCGUCGCUCCUACCGAUUGGAUGAUCCGGUGAGCUAUUCGGACUUUCGCAUUGUCGAUUUUCGGCUUUACGAGGGAAAGUCUCGCGAACCUUAUCAUCUAGAGGAAGGAGAAGUCGUAACA